rnacentral:rRNA from 1 species
AAGAGCUUGGCGGUCUCCCGAAUAAUCAGGGAAGCCUGUCUAUUAAACGAUAAUCCACGAAAAACACCUAUUUUAAAAAGCUUGUAUACCUCCGUCCAGUUAAUCUUUAAGAGAAUUAGCACCUAUAACAAAUAUAUCACGUCAGGUCAAGGUGCAGCCUAUGAAAAGGAUUUUUGAUUGGCUGCGCAUAAAAAAUAAUUUUUUUUUAAAAAUGAAAAAAUAAAUAGUACUUGAAAGUAAUUUUUUUUUAAAAUGAAAAAAUGAAACUUAACCCGGGAGAUGUACAAAUCGCCCGUC